rnacentral:rRNA from 1 species
GUGCGCGCCUGAGGAUGGGUCAUCGGCUGAUUAGGUUGUUGGUGGGGUAACGGCCCACCAAGCCAUCGAUCAGUACCGGCCGUGAAAGCGGGAACCGGGAGAUGGGCACUGAGACAAAGGCCCAGGCCCUACGGGGCGCAGCAAUCGCGAAACCUCUGCAAUCCGGGAAACCGGGACAGGGUUAUCCCUAGUGCCAUGCAAACGUGUGGCUUUUGCCGACAGUAGGAACGUCGGAUAAUAAGGGGAGGGCAGGGCUGGUGCCAGCCGCCGCGGUAAAACCAGCUCCUCAAGUGGUCGGGAUGAUUAUUGGGCCUAAAGCAUUCGUAGCCGGCCCCGCAAGUUCUUGGUCAAAUCCAACCGCUCAACGGUUGGGCCGAUGAUAAUACUACGAUGCUUGGGAGCGGGAGAGG